rnacentral:rRNA from 1 species
GGAGAGUUUGAUCCUGGCUCAGGACGAACGCUGGCGGCGUGCCUAACACAUGCAAGUGGAGCGACGAACCAGGCUUCGGCCUGGGGCAAAGCCGCGAACGGGUGAGUAACACGUGGGUAACCUGCCCUGAUGAUUGGGACAACCCGAGGAAACUCGGGCUAAUACCGAAUGUGCCCUCCGGCCACAAGGCCGCUGGGGAAAGGAAGCUUCGGCCUCCGCAUCGGGAUGGGCCCGCGGCCCAUUAGCUUGUUGGUGAGGUAACGGCUCACCAAGGCGACGAUGGGUAGCUGGUCUGAGAGGACGAUCAGCCACACUGGGACUGAGACACGGCCCAGACUCCUACGGGAGGCAGCAGUGGGGAAUCUUGCGCAAUGCGCGAAAGCGUGACGCAGCAACGCCGCGUGGGGGAAGAAGGCCUUCGGGUUGUAAACCCCUUUCAGUUGGGACGAAGCUCCGCCGGUGAACAGCCGGCCGGAGUGACGGUACCUUCAGAAGAAGCCCCGGCUAACUACGUGCCAGCAGCCGCGGUAAUACGUAGGGGGCAAGCGUUGUCCGGAAUCAUUGGGCGUAAAGAGCGUGUAGGCGGCUCGGUAAGUCUGCUGUGAAAGUCCAGGGCUCAACCCUGGAAUGCCGGUGGAAACUGUCGAGCUAGAGUCCGGAAGAGGCGAGUGGAAUUCCUGGUGUAGCGGUGAAAUGCGCAGAUAUCAGGAGGAACACCAAUGG